AGCUUGAUAAGGUUCCUAAGACAUGUUACCCCAUUGAUCGCCAGGGUUGAUUCAGCUGAUCUGGCUGGAUAGCUAGGUGUCCCCUUCCUCUCUUACCCGCUCCCAUGUGCAUCCCUCCUGAAGCUGCAUGCUAGGUCGAAGAGGACGACCAGCCCCCGAUAGAGCGAGGACUGGUCCUUCAAUCAAAGGUAUCACAAGUA
rnacentral:snRNA from 1 species